rnacentral:rRNA from 1 species
CACAGAGGGUGCGAGCGUUAAUCGGAAUUACUGGGCGUAAAGCGUGCGUAGGCGGUUAUUUAAGUCGGAUGUGAAAGCCCCGGGCUCAACCUGGGAAUUGCAUUCGAGACUGAAUAGCUAGGGUACGGUAGAGGGAAGUGGAAUUUCCGGUGUAGCGGUGAAAUGCGUAGAUAUCAGGAGGAACACCGAUGGCGAAGGCAGAUCUCUGGGCCGUAACUGACGCUGAGGAGCGAAAGCAUGGGGAGCGAACAGG